rnacentral:rRNA from 1 species
CUACGGGACGCUGCAGUCAAGAAUCUUCCGCAAUGCACGAAAGUGUGACGGAGCAAUGCCGCGUGGUGGAUGAAGGCCCUCGGGUCGUAAACACCUUUUAUAAAGGACGAACAAAUGACGGUACUUUAUGAAUAAGGGGCUGCUAAUCACGUGCCAGCAGCAGCGGUAAUACGUGAGCCCCAAGCGUUAUCCGGAUUUAUUGGGCGUAAAGAGUUCGUAGGUGGUUUUAUAAGUCGUGUGUCAAAUCUUCAGGCUCAACCUGGAGGCUGCGCGCGAAACUGUACAACUAGAGGAUAGGAGAGGCAGAUGGAAUUGCUGGUGUAGCGGUAAAAUGCGUUAAUAUCAGCAAGAACACCAAAGGCGAAGGCAAUCUGCUGGAAUAUUCCUGACACUGAGGAACGAAAGCGUGGGUAGCGAAUGGGAUUAGAUACCCUGGUAGUC